GUGGGGAAUUUUGGACAAUGGGCGCAAGCCUGAUCCAGCAAUGCCGCGUGCAGGAAGAAGGCCUUCGGGUUGUAAACUGCUUUUGUACGGAACGAAACGGUCCGGGUUAAUACCCUGGGCUAAUGACGGUACCGUAAGAAUAAGCACCGGCUAACUACGUGCCAGCAGCCGCGGUAAUACGUAGGGUGCAAGCGUUAAUCGGAAUUACUGGGCGUAAAGCGUGCGCAGGCGGUUUUGUAAGACAGGCGUGAAAUCCCCGGGCUCAACCUGGGAAUUGCGCUUGUGACUGCAAGGCUGGAGUGCGGCAGAGGGGGAUGGAAUUCCGCGUGUAGCAGUGAAAUGCGUAGAUAUGCGGAGGAACACCGAUGGCGAAGGCAAUCCCCUGGGCCUACACUGACGCUCAUGCACGAAAGCGUGGGGAGCAAACAGGAUUAGAAACCCCAGUAGUCC
rnacentral:rRNA from 1 species